UUUAAACCCGGAUAUUAGUUUCCGUGUUCAUUUCUAAUCGUCUGUUUUAUUAAAAAAUUUUAUAAUGAGUGUUUUUAUUCUGAUUAGAUGAUAAAAUAUAAAUAGUACUUUGUAAUAUUUAUUUUUAAAUUUUUUUAUAAUAUUUUUAAAUAAGAUAAAUGAUUAAAAUUGGACACGGAAACUAAUGGAGAUAGUAAAA
rnacentral:pre_miRNA from 1 species